rnacentral:rRNA from 1 species
UACGUAGGGUGCGAGCGUUGUCCGGAAUUAUUGGGCGUAAAGGGCUCGUAGGCGGUUUGUCGCGUCGGGAGUGAAAACACCGGGCUUAACUCGGUGCUUGCUUUCGAUACGGGCAGACUAGAGGUAUGCAGGGGAGAACGGAAUUCCUGGUGUAGCGGUGAAAUGCGCAGAUAUCAGGAGGAACACCGGUGGCGAAGGCGGGUCUCUGGGCAGUAACUGACGCUGAGGAGCGAAAGCGUGGGGAGCGAACAGG